UAGGGAAUAUUGGGCAAUGGGCGGAAGCCUGACCCAGCCAUGCCGCGUGCAGGAUGAAGGCCUUCUGGGUUGUAAACUGCUUUUAUCUAGGAAGAAAAUACCCUUGCGAGGGGAACUGACGGUACUAGGUGAAUAAGCACCGGCUAACUCCGUGCCAGCAGCCGCGGUAAUACGGAGGGUGCAAGCGUUGUCCGGAUUUAUUGGGUUUAAAGGGUGCGUAGGCGGCUUUAUAAGUCCGUGGUGAAAGCCAACAGCUCAACUGUUGAACUGCCAUGGAUACUGUAGGGCUUGAGUACAGACGAGGUAGGCGGAAUUGAUGGUGUAGCGGUGAAAUGCAUAGAUACCAUCAAGAACACCGAUUGCGAAGGCAGCUUACUAGGCUGUAACUGACGCUGAGGCACGAAAGCGUGGGGAGCGAACAGG
rnacentral:rRNA from 1 species